AGAAGCAGCCAUGCAUUUAAAGAGUGCGUAACAGCUCACUGGUCAAGUGGACAUGCGCCGACAAUACACGGGGCUAAGCGUUGUACCGAAGCAGCGGACUGUUUUAUCAGUGGUAGGGGAGCUUUCCAUGCCGGGGCGAAGCCGACGGGCGACCGUCGGUGGACUGCAUGGAAGUGAGAAUGCUGGCAUGAGUAACGAGAGAGGGGCGAGAAACCCCUCCGCCGUAAGCCUAAGGGUUCCUGGGCAAGGCUAAUCCCCCCAGGGUCAGUCGGGAGCUAAGGCGAGGCCGACAGGCGUAGCCGAUGCACAACAGGCGGACAUUCCUGUACCACCGCGGAGCGUUACUACGACGGGGUGACGGAGAAGGGUAGCCGGGCGGGGUUCUGGACGUCCCCGUGAAAGCGCGUAGGCCGCAGGGCAGGCAAAUCCGCCCUGCAGCAGGCCGAGACGUUAGACGAAGCUUCAUGUGAAGCCGGCGAGCCCAUGCUUCCGAGAAAAACCUCUAAGGAGCGAGGCGGUGCCCGUACCAAAACCGACACAGGUAGGCGGGUAGAGCAUACCAAGGCGAUCGGGAGAACCAUGGUUAAGGAACUCGGCAUACUGACUCCGUAACUUCGGGAGAAGGAGUGCCCCCGCCUGUGAGGUCCCACGCGGACGGAGCGGGAGGGGGUCGCAGCGAAACGGCCCAAGCGACUGUUUACCAAAAACACAGGACUCUGCAAAGCCGCAAGGCGACGUAUAGGGUCUGACGCCUGCCCGGUGCUGGAAGGUUACGCGGAUGAGUUAGCGCAAGCGAAGCCCUGAAGCCAAGCCCCAGUAAACGGCGGCCGUAACUAUAACGGUCCUAAGGUAGCGAAAUUCCUUGUCGGGUAAGUUCCGACCUGCACGAAUGGCGUAACGACUUGGGCGCUGUCUCAACCAUGGACCCGGUGAAAUUGUAUUAUUCGUGAAGAUGCGAAUUACCUGCGGAAGGACGGAAAGACCCCGUGAACCUUUACUGCAGCUUGGCAUUGGCUGUUGGUGCGGUGCGUAGAGGAUAGGCAGGAGCCUGCGAACCGGGAACGCCAGUUCCCGGGGAGGCGCCCUUGGAAUACUGCCCUCACCGCAUCGGCAGCCUAACGCGCCGCCCUCAUCGGGGGCGCGGACCGUGCCAGGUGGGUAGUUUGACUGGGGCGGUCGCCUCCUAAACUGUAACGGAGGCGUGCGAAGGUUCGCUCAGGGCGGUUGGCAAUCGCCCGCAGAGCACAAGAGUACAAGCGAGCCUGACUGCGAGACCAACAAGUCGAGCAGAGACGAAAGUCGGUUCUAGUGAUCCGGCGGCCCAGCGUGGAAUGGCCGUCGCUCAACGGAUAAAAGGUACUCCGGGGAUAACAGGCUGAUCUUGCCCAAGAGUCCACAUCGACGGCAAGGUUUGGCACCUCGAUGUCGGCUCAUCGCAUCCUGGGGCUGUAGCAGGUCCCAAGGGUUGGGCUGUUCGCCCAUUAAAGCGGUACGCGAGCUGGGUUCAGAACGUCGUGAGACAGUUCGGUCCCUAUCCUCCGUGGGCGCAAGAGAAUUGAGAGGAUCUGUCCCUAGUACGAGAGGACCGGGAUGGACGCACCUCUGGUGCCGCAGUUGUCGACCAACGGCACAGCUGCCUAGCUACGUGCGGAACGGAUAACCGCUGAAAGCAUCUAAGCGGGAAGCCGGCCUCGAGAUGAGUUCUCUCUUCGGUAAGGCCACUUGUAGACCACAAGUUCGAUAGGCCGCAGCUGCAAGCCCCGCGAGGGGCUCAGGCGAGCGGUACUAAUCGGCCGAGCUCUUCAUCU
rnacentral:rRNA from 1 species